UUCCGAACCAGCGCCGAUUUGAAUCAUCAGCUUGCGGGCGCUUAAUAAAUACGGCUAAAGCGGGACCAGCCCAGUCCGCU
rnacentral:misc_RNA from 1 species